rnacentral:rRNA from 1 species
GAUGAACGCUGGCGGCGUGCCUAAUACAUGCAAGUCGAGCGAACGGACGAGAAGCUUGCUUUUCUGAUGUUAGCGGCGGACGGGUGAGUAACACGUGGAUAACCUACCUAUAAGACUGGGAUAACUUCGGGAAACCGGAGCUAAUACCGGAUAAUAUUUUGAACCGCAUGGUUCAAAAGUGAAAGACGGUCUUGCUGUCACUUAUAGAUGGAUCCGCGCUGCAUUAGCUAGUUGGUAAGGUAACGGCUUACCAAGGCAACGAUGCAUAGCCGACCUGAGAGGGUGAUCGGCCACACUGGAACUGAGACACGGUCCAGACUCCUACGGGAGGCAGCAGUAGGGAAUCUUCGGCAAUGGGCGAAAGCCUGACGGAGCAACGCCGCGUGAGUGAUGAAGGUCUUCGGAUCGUAAAACUCUGUUAUUAGGGAAGAACAGAUGUGUAAGUAACUGUGCACAUCUUGACGGUACCUAAUCAGAAAGCCACGGCUAACUACGUG